rnacentral:rRNA from 1 species
AGUGAACGCUGGCGGCAGGCCUAACACAUGCAAGUCGAACGGCAGCACAUUAAGAGCUUGCUAUUCCUGGUGGCGAGUGGCGGACGGGUGAGGAAUAAAUCAGAUGCUACUUUGUCGGGGGGGAUAUCGUAGGGAAACUUACGCUAACACCGCACACGACCUACGGUUGAAAGCAGGGGAUCUUCGGGAUUUUCGCGACAGAAUGAGCCGGUUUCGGUUUAGCUAGUCGGCGAGGUAAAGGCCCGCCAAGGCGACGAUCCGUAGCUGGACUGAGAGGAUGAUCCGCCCCACUGGAACUAGGACACGGUCCAGAAUGCUACGGGAGGAAGCAGUGGGGAAUGGUGGGCACUGGGCGCAAGCCUGAUCCAGCCAUCCCGCGUGGGUGAAGAAGGCCUUGGGGUUGUAAAGCCCUUGUGUGAGGAAAGAAGAGCAGUGGGACAAUACCUCGCUGUUCUGACGUUACCCAGACAAGAAGCCCCGGCUAACUUCGUG